GUCAUCAGGUGAUGAGAUGGAUGAACUCCCAGUUUGCAUUUAUUGGGAGCUAUGAAACUGGUAAAAUGAUUAUGGUUCCCGCAACUCCUAAGCCUAUUACAUUGGAACUUGGUGAAGAAGACCUAUUCCUAUUUGAGUAUGUUGACAUUGACAAAAGGCAGCAAAGGGAACAAGUAUUGAAGGGGGCAUAAAGAACUAUGGGAGAAGCGUCCAUUUGACAAGCUCAAAGUCAUUGGUUCGCACUACCGUGGUUAUAUCAAAGAUUC